rnacentral:rRNA from 1 species
GAUGAACGCUGGCGGCGUGCCUAAUACAUGCAAGUCGAGCGAACAGACGAGGAGCUUGCUCCUCUGACGUUAGCGGCGGACGGGUGAGUAACACGUGGAUAACCUACCUAUAAGACUGGGAUAACUUCGGGAAACCGGAGCUAAUACCGGAUAAUAUAUUGAACCGCAUGGUUCAAUAGUGAAAGACGGUUUUGCUGUCACUUAUAGUUGGAUCCGCGCCGCAUUAGCUAGUUGGUAAGGUAACGGCUUACCAAGGCAACGAUGCGUAGCCGACCUGAGAGGGUGAUCGGCCACACUGGAACUGAGACACGGUCCAGACUCCUACGGGAGGCAGCAGUAGGGAAUCUUCCGCAAUGGGCGAAAGCCUGACGGAGCAACGCCGCGUGAGUGAUGAAGGUCUUCGGAUCGUAAAACUCUGUUAUUAGGGAAGAACAAAUGUGUAAGUAACUAUGCACGUCUUGACGGUACCUAAUCAGAAAGCCACGGCUAACUACGUA